CUUUUCAAAUUUUUAUAGGUUUUAGUCAUACACAAAGUUUUUGUGAUACAUAAUAUGGGUUGACAUCUUAAAAAACUGAAUAGCCUUUUCUUGUUAAUUUGUACCAAGAACCACAGCUUAUGUGACAUAUUUUAGGUGUUUGCUGUGGCAGCUCCCCAUUUUUGUAUACGUCUCACUAUUAGGCAACUCUGACUGUGGAAACAAACAACACCAAUACUUUAAGACUGACAGAAACAAGUAUGUAUUUAUCAAUCGCAUUAAACGAUGGUUGCAGAUUAGAUGUUGUUUUGCUGAGUUCUGCCAGCACUGCUAUUCUUCACAAGCCGUUUCUUUCCAGAAUGCAUGCUGAAGGAGCAACCCUGAUAGACGAUAUGUGGUAUGCAUGGCAGAGGGCAGAAUUUCAAGAGACAGAGGCAGAACACGACACCUAGUGAACUCCACCACUAUGUUCCUAAUGGAGAGGAAAAGGGGUCAGAGUUUUUUUUCCAAUAUAUCGAGACAGCACAAGACGGGUAGUUCAGACUAUCUCUCUACAUUGGUUGCAGUACCAGACUGGCUAGCCAUGGCGGACUUGUACUUACUAUUGAAGCUGAUUUUGCUGUCUCCUCUUCUCCGUGUAAGUUGAGUGUUGUUCCAUUCAAUGCCUGUGUUUAAGUGUCUUGGUAAUCUUGACACCUACAAAUUAUGCAGUGGAUUAACAACAUAGAACUGCUGUGUUCUUUGGCGUCCUUCUUGUAGCAGGACUCAUCAAGCCCUCAAGAACAGGACUGCUUUUAUAAAUGGAACUGAGAGAGCUCCCUUGUCCUUUCUGUCAUGUGAAGAUGCAGGGAGAAGAUAGUCAUCCCUGAACCAGAAAGCAGGCCCACACCAGACACCAAAUCUGCUGGUGCCUAGAUAUUGAACUUCCCAGGCUCUAAAACUGUAAGAAAUAAAUUUCUGUUGUUAUAAGCCACCCAGUCCAUGGGAUUUUGUUAUAGGAGCCCAGUAGAAUAAACAAGGGUACCUAUCUGUGCUUUUUAAAAAUACAUAUUUACUGGUUUUUAAAUUAAUUUGUCUAUAUUUUAACUACAUAAAUACACGUAAGUUUCCCUUCUGAAAAGAUAAGGAAGUAAACCAAAUUUUAAAAAUGUGAAUAUGUGAGUAAGUGUCUUGAAACAAAGUCCAGGGAAAAUGCAGGAGCCAUAUUCCAAGAAAUACUGCAUUAUCAAUGCUCUCAUUCUGUAGUACAAAAAAUAAUGAUUUUUCUUUUUAUUUUUAAUGCAGAAAUUAAAGUACCUUUUUACAAGCAAUAGAAUCUUUGAUUUGGUAAAAUCAUAGCACUCUAAACUUUUUUAUAUGAAAGAAACAUCUAUAAAUUAAAGGUGUCUUCAAAAGUAAAAGUAGAAUUGAACGUAUAUUAAAGCAAAAAUUAUAUAUACAUGUAUGUAUUUGUGUGUAUACGUGUGUGUGUAAGUUUAAAGUUUCUUGCUGUAUUAGGAUUCUAAAUAAAAACAAUUCGUCAACCCUCAAGUUUUUCCAUGUAGACCUACUCUAAAGAGUGAUUUCAUUUUUGAUUUAUUAAUUUAAACUGCAUGAAAUUACUGGUAUUUGGGCAAUUUUGACCUACAAAAGCAGCAGUUUCAUAAGGUCCAGCUAAUAUUUCCAAAUACUCAAAUGUCUCAUAUGUGAUAGAGCAUUAAAUACAAUUCUGUAUAUUCUGCCUUCAUUAUUCUGGGUCUUUACCGGGAAAGCCUCAUGGGUCUAAACCUUACUUAAUCAAUGUGAGAGAAGUAAUUCUCACUCAGAGAGGCUAUUGGGGACAGGAUGGCUUUGUGUGACGACAGGGACAAAAGAGUAAGGCAUAUCUCACUUACCUGCCUUUAGUUCCUAACUAGUUGUUUUGAAUGGAGAUGAAUACAUGUGUUUGAGAACACAUACAAUUUCAAACAUCCUUUGUAUACAAUUUCCUUUUUUUAAACCUAUUUUUAUGGAUUAGAACCGUAAUAAUAUAAUGCAAAUUGAGCAGCAUUGAAACUCACCUCCCAGAAUGUAAGAUAUCUAUGUGAGCUUGAUCUAGCCUAUAAAAGAAAACAAAGCAUCCAUUCUGCUGAUGGAAUCUUGUAAAUAAAAUAUUCAUGGCAAAAGAGAGGUAACAGAGGAGCUAGACAAACAGAUCAGCUGAGUUUAUGAUCUUUUUUUUUUUUUUUUUUUUUUGAGACGGAGUCUCGCUCUUUCUCCCAGGCGGACUGCAGUGGCGCUAUCUCGGCUCACUGCAAGCUCCGCCUCCCGGGUUCACGCCAUUCUCCUGCCUCAGCCUCCUGAGUAGUUGGAACUGCAGGCUCCUGCCACCGUGCCCGGCUAAUUUUUUGUAUUUUUAGUAGAGACUGGGUUUCACCGUUUUAGCCAAGAUGGUCUCAAUCUCCUGACCUUGUGAUCCGCCCGCCUCGGCCUCCGAAAGUGCUGGGAUUACAGGCGUGAGCCACCGCGCCCGGCCAGUUUAUGAUCUUGACAGAAGACAGUAGUUUUCUGGAUUGAACACAGAUCACGUCAGAGGGAAGCAAUGGUGGCUCCACACAAAAGAGAAGUAGCAUGCAGUUACAGAGCGCCAGGCAAAACACCUUGACGCUCCACACCGUGGUCUUAUCCUGAAAACCUUUCCGCUAUCCCUGUGAUGUCUUCCUCCUCCAAAUUUUAUCAAUAUCUUGCUAAAUUCUUGAGACAUAGAGACUACACUCCCAGUGUGUCCGGAAUUGGUGGGUUCUUGGUCUCACUGACUUCAAGAAUGAAGCCGCGGACCCUGGCGGUAAGUGUUACAGCUCUCAAGGUAGCGCAUCUGGAGUUUGUUCCUUCUGAUGUUCGGAUGGGUUUACGAGUUUCUUCCUUCUGGUGGGUUCGUGGUCUCGCUGGCUCAGGAGUGAAGCUGCAGACCUUCGCGGUGAGUGUUACAGCUCUUAACGCAGCGCGUCUGGAGUUGUUCGUUCCUCCCGGUGGGUUCGUGGUCUCGCUAGCUCAGGAGUGAAGCUGCAGACCUUCGCGGUGAGUGUUACAGCUCAUAAAAGCAGUGUGGACCCAAAGAGUGAGCAGUAGCAAGAUAUACUGCAAAGAGUGAAAGAACAAAGAUUCCACAGUGUGGAAAGGGACCCGGGCUGGUUGCCACUGCCGGCUCUGGCAGCCUGCUUUUAUUCUUAUCUGGCCCCACCCACGUCCUGCUGACUGGUAGAGCCGAGUGGUCUCAUUGACAGGGCGCCCAUUGGUGCGUUUAUGAUCCCUUAGCUAGACACAAAGGUUCUCCACCUCACCACCAGAUUAGCUAGAUAGAGUAUGGACACAAAGGUUCUCCAAGGCCCCACCAGAGUAGCUAGAUACAGAGUGUGGAUUGGUGCAUUCACAAACUCUGAGCUAGACACAGGGUGCUGAUUGGUGUGUUUACAAACCUUGAGCUAGAUACAGAGUGCCGAUUGGUGCGUUUACAAUCCCUGAGCUAGACAUAAAUGUUCUCCACGUCCCCACCAGACUCAGGAGCCCAGGUGGCUUCACCCAGUGGAUCGCGCACCAGGGCUGCAGAUAGAGCUGCCUGCCAGUCCGGCGCCCUGCGCCCGCACUCCUCAGCCCUUGGGUGGUCGACGGGACUGGGCGCCGUGGAGCAGAGGGCGGCGCUCAUCGGGGAGGCUCGGAGGGCACGGGAGCCCGUGGAGGGCGUGGGAGGCUCAGGCAUGGCGGGCUGCAGGUCCCAAGCCCUGCCCUGCGGGAAGGCAGCCAAGGCCCGGUGAGAAAUCGAGCGCAGCGCUGGUGGGCUGGCACUGCUGGGGGAUCCAGUACACCCUCCGCAGCCGCUGGCCUGGGUGCUAAGCCCCUCAUUGCCCGGGGCCGGCAGGGCCGGCCGGCUGCUCCAAGUGCCGGGCCCGCCAAGCCCACGCCCACCCGGAACUCCAGCUGGCCCGCAAGCGCCGCGCGCAGGCCGGGUUCCCGCUCGCGCCUCUCCCUCCACACCUCCCUAGAAGCUGAGGGAGCUGGCUCCGGCCUUGGCCAGCCCAGAAAGGGGCUCUCGCAGUGCAGCGGUGCGCUGAAGGCCUCCUCAAGUGCCACCAAAGUGGGAGCCCAGGCAGAGGAGGCGCGGAGAGCGAGCGAGGGCUGUGAGGACUGCCAGCACGCUGUCACCUCUCACCAACAGCAAAGGUGACCAUUAUUCCCAGCUUCCAGAGGCCACUCCCAUUCCUUGGCUUGUGCCCCACCCCCUUCUUUUUCAUCUUCAAACAUGACAAUGUUGCCAGGCCCCAGUGGGAAGAAUUGCU
rnacentral:lncRNA from 10 species